CAAGUUAAAGUCUAGGAUAGACAUUAUUAUUUACAUUAAUAACGUGGCUGUGAGAUUCAGCUUAAUUUGA
rnacentral:tRNA from 1 species